rfam:Capsicum annuum cultivar Zunla-1 chromosome 7, whole genome shotgun sequence
UAAUGGUGGUGAGGGCAAUUUCUAAGCAUACCCUUAAGUCAUUCCCAACCUAGGUAAAGAUUUUCUCCUUCUUUCUGCCUGAAACUCAUAAUCUAGCUUCUCAAACA